rnacentral:lncRNA from 1 species
ACAAACACAGAAGGUGAGUGUGACUGAGAUUUCAGAGCUGGCAGAGAAUGCCACCUCCCCAUUAGAAUGAGUUUGCAUUGUAGCUCAUGCAUAUUUUAAAUACAUAUAUAAAUAUGUAUUUAAGCAAAAAAAAUAAAAAUAAAAAUAAAACAAAACAAAACAAAAACUAAAAGUCCAUUUGGAGACCCAAGACAAGCUUCGGGGAGUAUCACUGCAUGGAACACUUUGGAAAUGUGCUCUUUCUACAAAUGAGGGCAUGUUCCCCUAGCAAGAGUUCCACGCGGCAUCAGGCAAUCUUCCUCAGCUGCAAAUGUGACCUGCCUCAAAGAGCCAUAUGCUCAGUGGCCUACAUAGAACCCUGUGCUUUGGGAGCCAAGAAAGGCACAGAUGACCUCCUCGGGUGGAAUCUCAGCACCACAGGAGCAUGUCUUGCACCCUUCAUAGCUCACCUCACCCAGAGGGACAAGUUUGCUCCCAAUACAGCAGAGUGGUUACAAGCAGGAACAUUGGAAGAGACAGGUUAUCUUGAUUAUAAUCUGGGUACCAUCAUUUCCUGACACUAUUACUUAAGUUCAUUUAUCUCUGUGCUUCAGUUCCACCAUCUGUAAACUGAGGGUGAUGGUGUCUCCCUUUGAGUGCAAUUGUGAGCCUGAGAUAAAUGAAUACGUGUAAAAUACUUAGCACAUCUCCUGGCACACAGUAGAACUCAGCAGGCAUUCACUAUUUUAAUUUAUAUUAUUUAUAUGAUUGCCCACAGGUGAAAUCAGCAGAGAAGUACUUGGAAAAGACAAGCCAGGGUGGGGUGUGAAGGACUGCUCUUAUAAUCUUUUUUGAUAUUCUCCACGUAGGGCCCUGACAUUUAUCAACCCUGACUUUCAGUAGAACAGAAUGUGAGAGCAGCGCGGUUGCUUACUCCUCGACUUUCCAAGGCUUGUGGGCACAUAAACCCAUCAAGAAACCUCUUUUGGAUGUGUGAAUGCAUGCUUUUGAGCUUACGGCUCUGCUCUGCCUCCCACGAGUUAUGGGUCUAGUAUAAAAAGCUUAUAAACUGUGCUUAUUUCUCCAUUUUUAAAAUGCAAACCUUCCCCUGAACAAGUGCAAUCUCACUUUUGGGAAUGGAUCUUAGGGAAAUCAUCUAACCAAAGAUAGUUAGCUAGAUAUAUGGAGAUGUUCACUACAAUGUUAUCUGUUUUAUAUAUAUUUUAAAAAGGCCAAGUAAAACACAAAAAUAAAAGAAAAAAAGUUAUUACAUUCAUUCCACGGAGUAUUAUGUAGCCUUUAAAAGAGUAGUUGCAAAAAGGAUGUGAAAAUAAAUAAAACAUUUUGGUUUAAUAUUAAAUUUUUUAAAAGCUAAGUAAAAAACAUUGACCAAAAGCUGAAGAACUGUACAAAAAACGAACAAUUGUUUAAAUUAGGGAAUUUACGGAUCAUAGUUUAUUGUUUAAAUUUUCUGCUAAUAUUUUUACACACAAUGGCAUGCACAGAUAAACCCAAAGGAUUAUUACAAAGCUCAAAUUAUAAUAAUAUACAUGUAAGUGCUAUAAAAUCUGGAUUGACAUUAUUAGUGCCAACUGAGCUCUAACCCUACUCAAACAGAACUAGAUACACUCUGGCUUUCCCUUUGAAAAGAGGGGGAAGUGGAAAAGUCCUAUUAGCUGAAAGCCACCAGAACACAACAUCUACCCUCAAAGACAGAUGGCUUGUGGCUGUCUUGAUAGUUCCAGGAGAUAAGGCAGAAAACCCAAAGCAUGAACAAGAGACGGUUAUGUUGCAAUAAGGACAGGAAGUCUAUCUGUCCACUAGCCUCUGAGCCUGGCAUAUGUUCUUCUCCAUUUCAAGUCUCAUCUUUGACAAACCACAGCGGGAAACUCCAGACCAUAACCUAGACCGAGUCUCAUGACUUUUCACAACCAAUGGACCCGGAGCUGGCUGUGUAAAAGAGAGAAAUCAUAUUUUCCUUAAGGUAUGGUUAUGAUCCAAAGAAAACUCAAAGGGCAAUAUUAUGUUCACUUUACUCAUUGAAAGUAAGAAGUCAAAACCUACCCUAGCUUUUUGAAAAGAAAAACAAGAGCUAUAUACGAAUUUCAGUUGAUUUCUAGAAUUAACCUCUGCCCUUACAUAUGAUAGUUUAUUCUGCUAGGCAAUUAUGACAAUAAAGUUUGAACCUGAAGAGAUAAUUCUGAAGUAGAAGAAAGAAAAUAUGGAAAAUAACUUCACCAGUGAAGACUUAAAAAAUAAAUAAGAUAAAAACUACCCAUUGUCAUCAUCACAGCCUCCACAAAAGGGAUUCUGAAGAGUUAAAAUCUGCUCAGCUUCGCCUCCACAAAAACCCAAAUUCCACACAGAUUCUGUGAUGGGAACCUAAUUCACUUUUUUCUUCAAAAAAGGCAGUUGUUACAUUUUUCCAUAUAAGAUGAGAGGGAAGAACAAUAAAACAAAUUCAAAAGAAGGCUCUAAAAGCAGGGGAAAAACCUCUCUGUUCUUAUUUAGGGUACUCAAGCUGUAAUUUGUCUUAAAAGCAGCUAGUUUAAAAAAAAAAAAAAAAACCAACACAUGCUAGAAAACCCCACACACAGAAAAAAGCAGCGUCCAGCUUUUUAAAAUUCUGCCUCUACACCUCCUUUCUCAAUGACAUCAGCUGGAGGCUCCCCACCUGCCCAGUUGCCAUAGCAGUUACACAAAGACAUACAAUGACAUCAGUUGGCAUGAUAUCAGCUCUUUGAGUGCAAACAAUACAAGAAGAACUACUUUGUUUAAGGCCUUUGGUGCAACUGUGUUCUGGGGAGCCAAUGAUGUAAUGCUAACAGGAACAGAUGGAUGCUAUGAUAUACUCCAUGGAAACAGAACAUCAGAGCCACUCAAGAUUCUAUAAGCACAAGAAUCUGUGGAAGAACAAAGCCUGGAUGAACUGGAGCUGAUGUCAGGCUGCCAAGGCUGAAAUCUUCUUCAAAGACAGGGUCAGAGUCACUUCAUAAGUUUCAGGGCAGAAUAUCACCUAUCUUAACAGGAGAAACAUGUGGGGUGGUGGUGGGUACCAGCUCGAUCCACAAAGAUUAUUUCUACUUCUUGUUUUCUAUGAAAUGUUCUUUAUACUCCAUAGAUGUGAUUGGGUAUUUUACAGUAGGAAUUGGGUAUUUUACAGUAGGGUAUUUUCAAGUUCAAGAUGAAAAUCAUUCCUACUGUAAAAUACCCAAGGAAGUAUUACUUAAAUUGUCUUAGGAUCUUGCCCCCAGGGAACUUGUAUUUCUUUCCCAAGAAGAGUAAAGGGAGGCCCUAUCAAACAGAGGCAGAGAGAGUUGAAUGGGAGUGCUGUCUCACUAGGUAUAAGGUAUGAAACAAGAGAUAAAGAAGUAUUUAUCUUACUCAGGGGAAGAAAGAGAUUUAGGAGGCUGACUAUGAGUCAGAGAGAAGUCUUCUUAUGAUCACGUCAUUUGACUGCUUCCCUCAAACCAGUGUGGUCUGGCUUACAUGUGAGAUGCCUUAUGUUUGAAAAGACAUAAACAAGGAAGUAUCACAAGCUUAAAAUACACACAUAUACAUAAAACUUCAGAUAUACUCAUAUAACAUAAUGGGAUCUUGAAUCCCAUUGAGUACCCAUCCACAUUAUUUGGCUUGCUAUAUUAUUAAGUCUUUUAGGAAGAUAUAUCUAAAAAUAAGUUAGUCCCUCCAUUCAUGGGUUUUUCCUGUGUGAAGGAGACACAGUUAUCUACAGAUAUAUCUUAAAAGCCAACUCUAGAAAAGACAGUGGAUGAUAUAUAAAGCAGCAAAAAAAAAAAAAAAAAAAAAAA